GGUUCCUGGGUGUUUCCUGUCUGUGGUUGGGGUUGCUGUUUCCCUGUCCAUCCUUCAGGGGGCGCCUGGCAGCCAUCCCUGGAGGGCGUGGACCAGCUGAUAUUCAUCACCUGCACUGCAUGAUCUCAUUUGGAGGAGCAUAAGAGGAGGAGGCAGCCUACACACCAGUGCCAGAGUGUUUUGCCAGUUUUUGGAACUCUCACUACAGAAGCUGUGAACCCCUUAGUGGAAAUCCAGCGCAGAACCUCUCCUUGUGACGCCGGUGGAUUAUUGCCCACCGGAUGCCCAAGUCCCUGAAUCCCACCUUGGUGAUCGGAUCUCCACGCUCGCUGCCCUCCUCUCUCCGGCCAUAACGAAACCCGCCCAGAUCUCGUCCGCCCUCCAGAGCUGCCCCACCACCAUUAGCGAAGCAGCAACACUCAACCUCAAGUAAUCCGCCCAGGAUCCUUCAGACCUCCCCCCCCCGGUCCGUAUCAUCUCAGCUGAACUCCAACCAGAAGCAUCGAAUCCUCUCCGGACCAGUUUUUCCCCUUUUCCUCUGACUGUCAUUCCCUGCAAUAAAUAUCAUUUUACUGAU